rnacentral:rRNA from 1 species
AAGGGGGGCCUCUGUUGGUAAGCAAAAAAGCGAAGCUGAUGGAGGCCGCAGAGAAAUGGCUCUUCCAACUGUUUAACAAAAACACAGGUCUCUGCAAAGUCGAAAGACGAUGUAUAGGGGCUGACGCCUGCCCAGUGCUGGAAGGUUAAGGGGAGAGGUUAGGGCGAUGGCGACAUCGCGCGAAGCUUUGAACCGAAGCCCCAGUGAACGGCGGCCGUAACUAUAACGGUCCUAAGGUAGCGAAAUUCCUUGUCGGGUAAGUUCCGACCCGCACGAAUGGAGUAACGAUUUGAACGCUGUCUCGGAGAGAGGCUCGGCGAAAUAGGAUUGUCUGUGAAGAUACGGACUAGGCGUGCCAGGACAGAAAGACCCUAUUGAGCUUUACUGCAGGCUGAUAUUGUCUGCGGGCUAU